UCUCUCAACGACAUUCUCUCGCUCCCGUCUCGCCCUCUCCUGCAAAAAAUCCCCCAACCCUCCUUCCACCUCUCUCUCUCAACAGUCUCCUCUCACCCCCAUGAAACCCUCUAUCCCCUCCCUCUCUGUAAUGGCGAUGAUGGUGAGGUGAUGAAGAUGUGAUCUGGGUCAUUAGUCUCCCUUUUCAUGGCAUCUAAAACCCGACAACAAUCAACAGGAUUUACAGCUUGUUAGAUGCCUUCAAUCUCAUUCUAGAUGCUGCUUGGAACUUUGUUCUUCUGUUUAAGAGCUACAACAACAUCUGCAAUAGCCAUGCUAAAGAGAAGCUCUUGAAAAAUCAAUCCGUCUCUGGCACCUCCUACUCCAAUGACUACAAAGCAAAGCACAUCCUCCCAAGUUUCACUAUUGAAGCCAAUCUUCACAUCUCUUCAGUUUUUGCCACCAACCAAGUUAAAUAAAAAGGUGACAUGUAUCAUUAUGCCUUUAUUGCUAACUUCUGCAAGUUAUGCUUUUUAAUUCUCUUUAUGAAAGCCCUCCCAAGUUUCACUGUUAUGAUCUAUUGAAGCUGAUCUACACAUUUCCUCAAUUUCUACCACCAAGUAAAUAGAAUCUGUUAUUGCUUGCUUGCUUUUGACCACUACAAUUUCUCAUGGUGCUUCUUAAGGGAAUGUACUGUUGAACAUACCAUGGUGUGGGUUUGCUCAAGACUAGAAGUAUGGAGCUGAGUUGAAGGUAUUUCGGUUUCCUUGGUUUUUUUUUUUUGUCUAUUAAUAAUGAUGGGGUGAAUAAUAUGAAUGGAUUGGAUGGCUUAAAAAGUGGUGGCCCCUGCAAGCAACCUGGGUUAUGGUUUUUACAAUUCAAUAACAGUUGCAAAUGUUUGGUGUGUUGCGAUACCCAUCAUAUCAAUGGUUUGGAUCAUUGAACCUUGGGGACCCACUU